CUUGCUUCUCUUGAGAGCGGCGGACGGGUGAGUAAUGCCUAGGAAUCUGCCUGGUAGUGGGGGAUAACGUCCGGAAACGGACGCUAAUACCGCAUACGUCCUACGGGAGAAAGCAGGGGACCUUCGGGCCUUGCGCUAUCAGAUGAGCCUAGGUCGGAUUAGCUAGUUGGUGGGGUAAUGGCUCACCAAGGCGACGAUCCGUAACUGGUCUGAGAGGAUGAUCAGUCACACUGGAACUGAGACACGGUCCAGACUCCUACGGGAGGCAGCAGUGGGGAAUAUUGGACAAUGGGCGAAAGCCUGAUCCAGCCAUGCCGCGUGUGUGAAGAAGGUCUUCGGAUUGUAAAGCACUUUAAGUUGGGAGGAAGGGCAGUAAAUUAAUACUUUGCUGUUUUAACGUUACCGACAGAAUAAGCACCGGCUAACUCUGUGCCAGCAGCCGCGGUAAUACAGAGGGUGCAAGCGUUAAUCGGAAUUACUGGGCGUAAAGCGCGCGUAGGUGGUUCGUUAAGUUGGAUGUGAAAUCCCCGGGCUCAACCUGGGAACUGCAUUCAAAACUGACGAGCUAGAGUAUGGUAGAGGGUGGUGGAAUUUCCUGUGUAGCGGUGAAAUGCGUAGAUAUAGGA
rnacentral:rRNA from 1 species